rnacentral:misc_RNA from 1 species
GAAUUUGAGCGUAUUCAUAUAGAAAGCGCUCAAAUUCUGUAAUUAUACAAAUUGCUAUAAUGCAAAACAACAUAUUACAACACAUUUCCUUGCUAGAACUUGCAUAGAUUGCUAAAUACACAAAAUCAAAGUUUGAAAGUAAGCAUUUUUUUUUACAUGCUUCAUUAUUCCUAAAGGCUUAUCGAACUUCUUGCAUGCUUGACUAGUGCUUGAUUUGAGACAGCAUACACCUUAUAUCCUUGCUGUUAG